AUGGAUGAAUCUUCCCUUCAAAUCCUACGCAGUGAAGUUUCUAUUUAACUUCCUAGUGAGUUUUCUUGGAGCUCUAGGGAGUACUAUGCUACAGGCAUAUGGCCGUCUAGAAUUAAAAACGGCACCAGUUCAUGCUCCUGCUGAGUGGUAUCUGGAAAAUGUCUUGCCCACAAUGCAUAGUUAUGGAAUUGCUGCUAUUUCCCCGUUCUCCCAUCGUUUCUUUCGACAAAAUGCCUGAAAGCAUCCAGCGCCUACGUUGUAAAGUGAACUUUCAAGCUUUAGCCUUUGUUCCUCAUAUUAGGGAAGUGGGAGAAACCCUUGAUAAUCGUCUCCACAGCCCUCCUCUAAGACACCAAAAUACAGACUCACAAGAGGGAACAUAUGACCUUGAUAAACAGGGAGCUGAAAUUGAUUGCUUAUAUUCUCUUUCCCUGCACAUACUCAUAGAGAAUAUGGCUGCUCAUUCUGCCUGUUAUUUUGGUUGUAAAGCUGAGAACUUGCUCUUGCAUAAUAUCACCAAGUAAUUUGGCCGGGAAGGAUCCUAAAAUCUCAGCUCACAGAUGAGGAACUCAGAAUUCAGGGGCGUUGCCCGUUGAGGCUUGAAGAAAUUGUAUUGUUGCUAGCAGCUCUUGUCUUCAACAAUAGCACACGGCUUUAUCUUGCGUCCCACAAGGUUUAUGGCGGAGAAGCAAGGAUCACAACUCGCAGAAGAUUAUUUCCACUAAUGGAGGAUAAGAAGAGCCUUACUUCAGCCGAGCAAAGGGCCAAGGUUGAAGGCAAGGCUUCUCUGUCAGCUGCAGUUGACUAUUAUGUGAGCAUGCAAAGUGAUAUCUUCAUUUCUGCUUCUCCGGGAAACAUGCACAAUGCACUGUAUAAACUUCGAGGUAUUAUAAAGUUGUUUAGGCCAGGUGGCCUUUUGGAUUAG